UGAACUUUUGUUUAAUUUUAAUAGUAAAGAAGCCUUUCGUAGUUAUAUAAAUCAGUAUAUUGUGUUCAUUACUUAGAACGCCGUGACUCGGGGCCGGAAUUUUUUGACGAACGAGGCACGUUUGACGUUUGCAAUCAGCUGAUUUCUCUGCUUGAGAUUUGUCGAAGUUUAAAUACGUACAUAGUUAUGUAGCUAAUUGUUGAUUAUCAAAAUGCGAGCGUUUCUUGGAGCAAAUAACUAAUAAAAGUUACUAAAAUUCAGAUAUUUGUACUAGUAGUGUAGUUGUAGUAGUUCUGUUCAUUAACGGAAAAUGUUCUAAAGUGAAGUAUUGAAAUUUAAUACUAAAACAUAUCUACACUUUCCAAGUACUAGAAUCCAGUGCUAAAAGUUAUAAUGUGCCAAUAAAUGUAUUCAUAACUUUAUUAUUUAUACAACCUAGUAGUGUGGAUAAAUGUUUUAUAGCAAUCCGUUCAUGGCCCUAUAAUCUAAACAUUUACCUUAUAUUGUUUUAGCAGAUCUGAUGUAAAAAAUUUGAAUACAAUAUUGUAGAAGACAAUGAAUCCUAUCAUUUGAUAUCCGUACUAUCCCUAAGAACUGAUUGUUAAAAAACGUAAAAUCAGUAUAAAUAGAAAUAGUAACUAUUUUCGGAAGUACCUAAGUACACAUUUCCUUAUUUCCUUUUCGGAUUCAUCAUUUUCAUUGAUACAGCAGCAUCAGGCAAUCGAUCAUAAUGCACAUGUGCAUUUAUUUAACUAUGAAAAGAAAUAUUAAGAACAAAGCAAAAUUCUGAUUGUUAGUGACUAAUUAGUAAUUACUAAAUAAUGAUAAUUAGUUGUUAACCCACCAUAUGAAAUGAGAACUUAUUCAGAUAACGAAAGGGAGCUUGAUGGUUAGGUUAGGUUUUAUUUUAAAAUGAUCAGCUGUUCAAUGUUUUUAUUUGUAUGAACGCGCGCAUUUAACGUGCCCCGUUUGUCGAAAAAUUCCGGCACGUUAUCGUGCCUCGAGUCACGGCGUACUUAGAAAUAAAGAAAUGCAGGUACUUGUGGGAAAGUGGAUUCUUCGGUUUCAUGGCACAAAUUCCCAAGUGAAAAAAGCAACAAGAAUUGGUGACUGCAAGCAUGUGAACUAUCGGAAUU